CGUUUCAGAACUCUGAACUAACCUGAGUUUAAUUUCUCUUUAGUUCUGAUCUCACUGCUGAGCUGCACCACAAACCAAGCUUCAAAGAAAACUCCUCCAUCGUCCUGAAGAAAAGGAUCAACUUCAUCUAACAUAAAGUUUGAGGAUUUAAAUGGAGGAAACAUCUCUGUUGUGGUUGCUCUUUCUGAUCUCACU